GAUGAAGAACGUAGUGAAAUGCGAUAAGUAAUGUGAAUUGCAGAAUUCAGUGAAUCAUCGAAUCUUUGAACGCACAUUGCGCCCCCUGGUAUUCCGGGGGGCAUGCCUGUUCGAGCGUCAUUUCAACCCUCGAGCCCCCCCGGGGGCCUCGGUGUUGGGGGACGGCACACCAGCCGCCCCCGAAAUGCAGUGGCGACCCCGCCGCAGCCUCCCCUGCGUAGUAGCACACACCUCGCACCGGAGCGCGGAGGCGGUCACGCCGUAAAACGCCCAACUUUCUUAGAGUUGACCUCGGAUCAGGUAGGAAUACCCGCUGAACUUAAGCAUAUCAAUAAGCGGAGGA
rnacentral:misc_RNA from 1 species